rnacentral:rRNA from 1 species
UACGAAGGGGGCUAGCGUUGCUCGGAAUCACUGGGCGUAAAGCGCACGUAGGCGGAUCUUUAAGUCAGGGGUGAAAUCCUGGAGCUCAACUCCAGAACUGCCUUUGAUACUGGGGAUCUCGAAGUCCGGAAGAGGUAAGUGGAACUCCGAGUGUAGAGGUGAAAUUCGUAGAUAUUCGGAAGAACACCAGUGGCGAAGGCGGCUUACUGGUCCGGUACUGACGGCUGAGGUGCGAAAGCGUGGGGAG